CCGCCCGUCACAUCAUGAAAGCUGGUUGUACUAGAAGUCGCCGUGCUAACCGCAAGGAGGCAGGUGCCCAAGGUAUGACUAGUGAUUGGGGUGAAGUCGUAACAAGGUACCC
rnacentral:rRNA from 1 species